UUUGUCAUUGUGGCCUUUAUUGUGUUGAAAUCACUGCCAUCCACAUUGUUAAUUGGACAAGCUGAAGCAACACCUCUGUUUGAAGGUCAGAAAUUCCCUCACGUGUAGCAGGUGGAAGGUCCCUGGAACAACUGCUGGAAUGAGGCUCCAGAGUGGAAGGUGGAAGCUCCUUCUUGGGAUAAAGGAUCCAGAGCUUAAAAAAAAAAAAAAAAAAAAAAGAAGUUGGAGGGUGCUCAUUGUGACAAGUACAGAAAAGGAUUAGCAUGCUCCUCAACUUUCCUGCCCAAGGCUCAAAGGAGGUGGCCCAAG